UAGGGAAUCUUCCGCAAUGGACGCAAGUCUGACGGAGCAACGCCGCGUGAGUGAAGAAGGAUUUCGGUUUGUAAAACUCUGUUGUUAGAGAAGAACAGCGCAUAGAGUAACUGUUAUGCGUGUGACGGUAUCUAACCAGAAAGCCACGGCUAACUACGUGCCAGCAGCCGCGGUAAUACGUAGGUGGCAAGCGUUGUCCGGAUUUAUUGGGCGUAAAGCGAGCGCAGGCGGUCAAUUAAGUCUGAUGUGAAAGCCCCCGGCUCAACCGGGGAAGGUCAUUGGAAACUGGUUGACUUGAGUGCAGAAGAGGAGAGUGGAAUUCCAUGUGUAGCGGUGAAAUGCGUAGAUAUAUGGAGGAACACCGGUGGCGAAGGCGACUCUCUGGUCUGUAACUGACGCUGAGGCUCGAAAGCGUGGGUAGCAAACAGG
rnacentral:rRNA from 1 species